GACGUAGGGCGCGAGCGUUGUCCGGAUUUAUUGGGCGUAAAGAGCUCGUAGGCGGCUUGUCACGUCGGUUGUGAAAGCCCGGGGCUUAACCCUGAGCUUGCGGUCGAUACGGGCAUGACUGGAGUUCGGCAGGGGGAGACUGGAAUUCCUGGUGUAGCGGUGAAAUGCGCAGAUAUCAGGAGGAACACCGGUGGCGAAGGCGGGGUCUCUGGGCCGAUACUGACGCUGAGGAGCGAAAGCGUGGGUAGCAAACAGG
rnacentral:rRNA from 1 species